rnacentral:rRNA from 1 species
AUUGAACGCUGGCGGCAGGCCUAACACAUGCAAGUCGAACGAGUGGCGGACGGGUGAGUAAUGUCUGGGAAACUGCCUGAUGGAGGGGGAUAACUAAUGGAAACGGUAGCUAAUACCGCAUACCAUCGGAUGUGCCCAGAUGGGAUUAGCUAGUAGGUGGGGUAAAGGCUCACCUAGGCGACGAUCCCUAGCUGGUCUUAGAGGAUGAACAGCCACACUGGAACUGAGACACGGUCCAGACUCCUACGGGAGGCAGCAGUGGGGAAUAUUGCACAAUGGGCGCAAGACUGAUGCAGCCAUGCCGCGUGUAUGAAGAAGGCCUUCGGGUUGUAAAGCACUUUCAGCGAGGAGGCGUUACCCGCAGAAGAAGCACCGGCUAACUCCGUGCCAGCAGCCGCGGUAAUUC